CAGCAUGGGGGGGAAUAUUGCACAAUGGGCGCAAGCCUGAUGCAGCCAUGCCGCGUGUGUGAAGAAGGCCUUCGGGUUGUUAAAGCACUUUCAGUCGUGAGGAAGGUAGUGUAGUUAAUAGCUGCAUUAUUUGACGUUAGCGACAGAAGAAGCACCGGCUAACUCCGUGCCAGCAGCCGCGGUAAUACGGAGGGCGCGAGCGUUAAUCGGAAUUACUGGGCGUAAAGCGCAUGCAGGUGGUUUGUUAAGUCAGAUGUGAAAGCCCGGGGCGUCAACCUCGGAAUAGCAUUUGAAACUGGCAGACUAGAGUACUGUAGAGGGGGGUAGGAAUUUCAGGUGUAGCGGUGAAAUGCGUAGAGAUCUGAAGGAAUACCGGUGGCGAAGGCGGCCCCCUCGGACAGAUACUGACACUCAGAUGCGAAAGCGUGGGGAGCAAAUAGGAUUAGAUACCCUGGUAG
rnacentral:rRNA from 1 species